rnacentral:rRNA from 1 species
AAACCAGCACCUCAAGUGGUCAGGAUGAUUAUUGGGCCUAAAGCAUCCGUAGCCUGCUCUGUAAGUUUUCGGUUAAAUCUGUAUGCUCAACAUACAGGCUGCCGGGAAUACUGCAGAGCUAGGGAGUGGGAGAGGUAGACGGUACUCGGGAGGAAGUGGUAAAAUGCUUUGAUCUCUCGAUGACCACCUGUGGCGAAGGCGGUCUACCAGAACACGUCCGACGGUGAGGGAUGAAAGCUGAGGGAGCAAACCGGAUUAGAAACCCCGGUAGUCC